GACGAACGCUGGCGGCGUGCUUAACACAUGCAAGUCGAGCGGAAAGGCCCUUCGGGGUACUCGAGCAGCGAACGGGUGAGUAACACGUGAGUAAUCUGCCCUUCACUCUGGGAUAGCCACCGGAAACGGUGAUUAAUACCGGAUACGACCAAUCCCUGUAUGGGGUGUUGGUGGAAACUUUUUUGGGUGGGGGAUGUGCUCGCGGCCUAUCAGCUUGUUGGUGGGGUAAUGGCCUACCAAGGCUUCGACGGGUAGCCGGCCUGAGAGGGUGACCGGCCACACUGGGACUGAGACACGGCCCAGACUCCUACGGGAGGCAGCAGUGGGGAAUAUUGGACAAUGGGCGGAAGCCUGAUCCAGCAACGCCGCGUGAGGGAUGACGGCCUUCGGGUUGUAAACCUCUUUCAGCACCGACGAAGCGCAAGUGACGGUAGGUGCAGAAGAAGGACCGGCCAACUACGUGCCAGCCGCCGCGGUAAUAC
rnacentral:rRNA from 1 species